rnacentral:tRNA from 1 species
GUCCCUGUAGCUUAAAAUAAAGCAUGGUACUGAAGAUGCCAAGAUGGACACUACCCCCAAGGAC